ACGAACGCUGGCGGCGUGCCUAAUACCUGCAAGUAGAACGCUGAAGGAAGGAGCUUGCUCUUUCUGGAUGAGUUGCGAACGGGUGAGUAACGCGUAGGUAACCUGCCUGGUAGCGGGGGAUAACUAUUGGAAACGAUAGCUAAUACCGCAUAAAAUUGAUUAUUGCAUGAUAGUCAAUUAAAAGGUGCAACUGCACCACUACCAGAUGGACCUGCGUUGUAUUAGCUAGUUGGUGGGGUAACGGCUCACCAAGGCGACGAUACAUAGCCGACCUGAGAGGGUGAUCGGCCACACUGGGACUGAGACACGGCCCAGACUCCUACGGGAGGCAGCAGUAGGGAAUCUUCGGCAAUGGACGGAAGUCUGACCGAGCAACGCCGCGUGAGUGAAGAAGGUUUUCGGAUCGUAAAGCUCUGUUGUAAGAGAAGAACGAGUGUGAGGGUGGAAAGUUCACACUGUGACGGUAUCUUACCAGAAAGGGACGGCUAACUACGUG
rnacentral:rRNA from 1 species